AGCUGUUCUGGUGCUAACUAUCCCACUUUGCAGGGAUUUGACGUAAGGCCUCAAUUUCUUCCUCAGUAAAAGGGGAAUUGCAACAUACCAUUGAAGAAGGGAUCCUGUUGCUUCUCUGCUAUAAUCACCCAGAGGCUUUAGGUUGAACUUGAGGGUGCCUUUGCAUAAUGUUCUGGUCUUAUCCACCUCCCUCACCGCAUCUCCUUCAUCCCCCAGCCCCGCCGCAGGUCACCUGAGUGCUUGCUCUUAUGGAGUUGACUACCACAUCUUAGUGUUAUAAAUAUCAGGGAGACCUCCCCUGAUCACUCUGCCCCCCACUACUUCCACUUCUCCUUUUCCGUCAACCUCUGUUACAGCUCCUUGUUCCUUUUCUUCCCAGCUCAGGCCUCACGUUGCCAGUUCUUCAUUUAGUAUCCCCCCCCCCAUCGGAUUGUGAGCUUCACGAGGGCAGGGCACAUGUUCCCAACUCCCAUCAGUGGUGACACAUGAAGUCCCUUGAUAAAUAUUUGUAAAGUGAAUGAAUAGGUCUAUUUUGUAUCCCCCGUGUCUGGCACAUUUUGAUGCUCUGAAAAUGAAUCAUCAUUACUCACAUGCAUUGAGCACUAUGUGCUAGGGGUUGUUCUCUGCACUUUAUGUUUAGUAACUCAUUCGGUAACCAUAGUGACCUGACGAUUUGUACAUAUCCAUCAUACAUUACUCCUGUUUUACCAGAAACAGGAGACAAAGGCCCCCAAACAGCAAGACCCUUGCUCAAGAUUGCACAACGAAUGAACGGCAGAGCUGAGAUUCACACCAGGGAUGGCGGUGGUAGGAACUGUUUAAAUGAUGGGAGGGAAGGUUGGCUUAACAGGUAAAGGUCAUGGCCAGGGGCUUGAGCUGAGCAGAGUUGGGAACCAAGGAAGAAUUCCAGAAGCUCCAUGAUGCCCAUGAGAUAACAAGUUAGAGUGCUGACGGAGAACUGAGUCACGCUAGAUUCAUGGGGAUGUGAGGCUGAAGAUGGGGCCUGGUUGAAGUUUUAGCUCAGGUCUCUCAGGUAGAGUUCUCUGUGGCCAAAGAGAAGCCCCAAAGAGGCAAGCUUAGCCAAGUGCUGUGGUGCACGCCUGUAAUCCCAGCAGCUGGGGAGGCUGAGGCCAGAGGAUCACAAGUUCAAAGCCAGUCUCAGCAAUGGUGAGGCCCUAAGCAACUCAGUUGUUGUCUCUGAACAAAAUACAAAAUAGGGCUGGGGAUGUGGCUCAGUGGUCGAGUGCCUCUGAGUUCAAUACCUGGCACCCCCCCACCUCAAAAAAAAAAAAAGCAGCAAGCUCAAUUUGUUUUUAGUCAUAUCAGGCAAGAAGCUUUGGAGCUUUGGAUUCUGGCAUCAGGUGUCAGUUGAUAGGUCACAGCUCAGCUCUGGGAUUUGGUUGCUGGCUUGGCUUUGCCAUUUGUAGCCAUCUCACUGUCACCUUGACCCUCUGCUGGAAUCACCCAGUGCAGGUAAGCAUUAUACGGAUGCCCUGGGGACCUCUCUGACCCCAUCACUGCGUAUCUGUGCCAGAAUUGCCCUGAUAGGGCGCUUGGAAAUUUGGUGGAGACUCAUUUAGUGUCCAGUUUGCCCACAUUCUAGGCCACUCUUGAAAAAGGCACAAAGGCACGAAAGCAACCUUGUCCUCGUGACUGAUCUUCUACAGCCACAGAUGUCCUUAGGACCCACCCAGAGGCCCCACUUAAGACAUCUCCUGAGUCUGAAUCUUUGAGACAAUGUGAUAGGCCAGGGUACUAGGCAGGCCUAAUCUUAGCCCUAAGAUUGUUAGCUCCUCUGGCUCCCCUGUUCCUUCCCUGUGGCUUUAUUCCUUGUCUCCUGGGACCAGUCUUCCUGGCCACUGAGCUCUCCAAAAUGUGGAAGAAUCAAUAAGAGUUGGUUGCGGCUCUACCAGCUGCUGCAGACUUCCCAUCUUGGGACUUGUCAAGGGCUUAACCGCUCAGCUAACCAAUGGGGAGCUCUGCUCAUUCCAUAGGAUGGAUACAGGCAAAGGAUGGAGCAUCUUAUGUGGUGAAAGCAAAAAGCCAGGAGGCAUACCUGGUGCAUGCCAGGUUUGGCUUUCCUGGAUGGCUUAAAACUGGAUCCAGGAGGCCUGCCCUUCCUUACUCAGCAAAGGAGGAGUUAUAGGGAGGAGCUUACUGGUUCAGUAGGAGGUAGAAGGAUCAAGUCUAAGAGAUUCUAAGAUGUCUCCCUAAUGCAAAGUACAUAGGAUCAAAUCCAGGAAGUUGUGCUGAGACCAGGAUCUGAGAAACUUCAAAUUGCUCUGGUCUUGCUCCAGAGAGUCAUUGGGGUUCUUAGCCUGGAUCCAUCCCUGCAAGCUUAGGAGCUGAGUAAUGGAAACCUAAGAAGAGCCAGAGAUGGGGACCAGGAGCCAGGUCAUAGGAGAAGACCUAACCAUCUGUGGCAUGCAUCUUCUGUGAAGGGCAGGCCUACUUGCUUUCAGCUCUCCAAAAUAUGGAAGCAUCAAUAAGACUUGGUUGUGGCUCUACCACCUGCUGCAGACUUCCCAUCUUGAGACUUGUCAAGGGCUACUUGAAAGCAGGUAGAAGUUUCAUGAAAAACCAGAGUAAGAAUAGACACAGGGAGGGUUAAGCCUUCAGAACAUGAAGUUCUGAUGAGAGCUGUGGAUUGGGGCUUGAGUUUGGAGUACUCAAGAGAAGGGGACAGUCAGGUUGGUUCUCUACAGAGUGGAGAAUGUCCCCAGAAUGCCUUAUUGAAAGCCAAGUCUCACUUUUAGGACUUUAUUGAUGAAGAUCUAAGGGAGGGAUUGACCUGGCACGCACGCUUGGGCAAAAGACAGGAGGACAAGAGGCAGGAAAGAAUACCUGGAAAGCUCAUCCUGAGGGGACUCGACUUUGAUGGAUAGGGAGGUACAGAGGGCCUAGAGAACACCAAGGGACAUGAACAGGAGGCAACUGGUGUCAAAAUUCUGCUCCAUCACAUCAUCAGGCCCAGGAUGCUAAGCCAUCCUGAGAGCUUUUUCCAAUCUCUGGGGCCAAAAUUUACCUUCAUCUUAGAUUCUAUGCUUGUCAGUCCUUGUGCUAAAAGCCUGACCACAGUCAGGUCAGGCUUUUAGGGAACACACCUGGAACUCACUCCAGCACAAAGCACCUAUGACAAGGGUACAAAGAUACCGUCCCCAAAUAAAGUAACAUUUACAGGUUCCCAGAAUAAGGAACAUGAAAUCUUUGGGGUUCACUUUCAACUCAUUAUAUCAUAUGGUUCCAUUUACAUGAAAUUCUGGAACGAAUAAAACUAAUAUACAUUGACCAAAAGCAAUGGUUAUUGGGGCAAGGAAGAGGACAUGACUGACACAAAGGGGCAAGGGAGAACUUUCUGGUGGAAAAGAAAUGCUGUAUGUUGUGAUAGUGGUAAUGACUACGUGACUAUGUCAACUUAUCGUAAUUCACUAAAGUGUACUCUUACAAUUGGGCACAUGUUAUACAUAAGUAAAUUUUUUUUUUAAAAAAGAAAAGUGUAGAUUUGGGAAAGGAACAAAUCUUGGAAAAUCUGAUUCAGCAAGUCUGGUGUAUGAUUUAAGCAAACAACCCAGGUUUCUGGGAGGCAGGUGGUUCUGGAACCUAAAUAUCAGGUAAAGAAUGAAGGGAAAGUAUCUUUGUAGAUGGAAUUAAGGAUUUUUGAGAUGAGAUGAUUCUGGAUUCUCUAGUUGGUUCUCUGAACACCAUAAUAGGUGUACUUUAGAAGGGAGGUAGAGGUAAAGUCUCUCUCUCUCUCUCUCUCUCUCUCUCUCUCUCUCUCUCUCUCUCACACACACACACACUCAUACACACACACACACACACACACACACACGCCAAGGCUAUGUAAAGAUGGUGGUAGAGAUUGGAAUGAAAGAAUGCCAAGAAAUUCCAGGAGCCACCAGAAGUCAGGAGAGAUGAAGAAUGGACUCUCUCUCAGAGAUUCCAGAGGGAGUGUGGCCCUGCUGACACCUUCAUUUUGGACUUCCAGAUCCAUGAGAGAAUAAAAUUCUGUUGUUUUAAGCCAGCAGAUUUGUGAAUUACAGAAAGUACAACAAUACACAAGUCUAUGAUGUGCUGUCCAAGCAAUGACAUAAUCAAUAUCAUGCAGCUUCUGGAAAACUCCAUUGUCAACUCGUGAGAAAAUGAGCAUGAAAAAGGCAAAUAAUGUCUUGCUGUUAUUAAAUUAAUUUUUAUCUCAUACCUGC